AUGCAGUUUAUGCAGCUGAGGAUGUCAUCGAAUCCCAAAUUGUGCUUCAAAUUCAUAACCGAUCCAAAAUUCGUGGGAAGAUGUCCAGUUUUAUCAAAUUGUUUGGAGCUCGGUGCAAAUGCGCAACUAUUGAUAGAAAUGAAUUGGAGGUCGGUGUAAAUGCAGCUGAGGACUUCUAUCACGAUCUGCAACAAGUGAUAGAAGAAAUGAAUUCAAUCUCAACCGCAGCUGGUCAACUGCAGAGAAAGGUCUCCUCAACUCAUGCUGCCUCCUCUUCCACUGUUAUCAAGAAGGA
rnacentral:lncRNA from 1 species